rnacentral:rRNA from 1 species
AUAUCAAUAAGCGGAGGAAAAGAAACCAACAGGGAUUGCCUCAGUAACGGCGAGUGAAGCGGCAGCAGCUCAGAUUUGAAAUCUGGCCCCGCCUGGGGGUCCGAGUUGUAGUCUGCAGAGGAUGCUUCGGGGGUGCGUCGGGCCCAAGUUCCCUGGAACGGGACGUCGGAGAGGGUGAGAACCCCGUCUGUGGCCCGGACGUGUCCCUCGGGUGAAGCUCCCUCGACGAGUCGAGUUGUUUGGGAAUGCAGCUCAAACCGGGUGGUAAAUCUCAUCUAAAGCUAAAUAUCCGCCGGAGACCGAUAGCGUACAAGUAGAGUGAUCGAAAGAUGAAAAGCACUUUGAAAAGAGAGUUAAACAGCACGUGAAAUUGUUGAAAGGGAAGCGCUGGCGACCAGACGUGCCCGCGGUUCCUCAGCCGACGGUCCGCCGCCGGCCCACUGGGCCCCGGGCAGGCCAGCAUCGGCUCGGGUGGCGGAAGAAGAGCCCCGGGAACGUGGCACCCUUCGGGGUGCGUUAUAGCCCGGGGUGUGACGCCGUCCCUCGGGCCGAGGCCCGCGCUCCGGCAAGGAUGCUGGCGUAAUGGUCAUCAGCGACCCGUCUUGAAACACGGACCAAGGAGUCUAACAUCCACGCGAGUGUUUGGGUGUCAAAACCCCCGGACGCGCAAUGAAAGUGAACGGAGGUGGGAACCCGUCGGGGUGCACCAUCGACCGAUCCUGAAGUCUCACGGAUGGAUUUGAGUAGGAGCGUGGCUGUUGGGACCCGAAAGAUGGUGAACUAUGCCUGAAUAGGGUGAAGCCAGAGGAAACUCUGGUGGAGGCUCGCAGCGGUUCUGACGUGCAAAUCGAUCGUCAAAUUUGGGUAUAGGGGCGAAAGACUAAUCGAACCAUCGCCGCGGCUAGGUGGUCGAGAGGUGGGGCCGCGGUAAAUCGGCUCCGUCCUAGUCCCUCGCUCACGGGGGCGACGCUGUCAAAUUGCGGGGACACCCUUAGAGCUCGAGCGUACCGUCGUCCGACCGCAAGGUCGUCUGCCGCCGUGGGGGUUGACCCCCUCGGUUCGCGGACCGACGGGCCUGAGAUUGGGCGAUCCGCAGCCAACCCCCACGGGGCCCUCGGGCCUUGGGGAGAGGUUCACAGACUAGAUGGCAGUGGGUCGGUCCCUGCGGGGUCGGCCCAAGGUAUAGUCGGACCGCCGGGAGACCGGUCGGGGGGGAGGCGACGCCGGGUGCGGUGGGCGUCCCCGGAUCGCGUUCGCGACCGGGGUGGCUCCGGGUGUCGUGGCCCCUCGGGGGGAGUGCCUCGUGGGAGAGGCACCCCCGGGUGAGUCGCUAGUAGCUGGUUCCUGCCGAAGUUUCCCUCAGGAUAGCAGUAACGCGUGGCAGUUUUAUGAGGUAAAGCGAAUGAUUAGAGGCCUUGGGGUUGAAACAACCUUAACCUAUUCUCAAACUUUGAAUAUGUAAGAAGUCCUUGUUGCUCGGUUGAACGUGGACAUUCGAAUGUACCGUUACUAGUGGGCCAUUUUUGGUAAGCAGAACUGGCGAUGCGGGAUGAACCGAACGCGGGGUUAAGGUGCCGGAAUGCACGCUCAUCAGACACCACAAAAGGUGUUGGUUCAUCUGGACAGCAGGACGGUGGCCAUGGAAGUCGGAAUCCGCUAAGGAGUGUGUAACAACUCACCUGCCGAAUGAACUAGCCCUGAAAAUGGAUGGCGCUCAAGCGUGCUACCCACACCCCGCCGCCGGGGUAGGAACGACGCCCAGGCGAGUAGGCAGGCGCGGGGGUCCGUGACGAAGCCUCGGGAGCGAUCCUGGGUCGAACGGCCCCCGGUGCAGA